rnacentral:rRNA from 1 species
CUGGCGGCAUGCCUAAGACAUGCAAGUCGAACGAGAAAGCCUGAUGAAGUUGGAGUGCUUGCACGAAGAUGGAAACAGAUACUUCUAGUGGCGGACGGGUGAGUAACGCGUGAGGAACCUGCCUUUCAGAGGGGGACAACAGUUGGAAACGACUGCUAAUACCGCAUGACACAUCGGGGUCGCAUGGCUCUGAUGUCAAAGAUUUAUCGCUGAAAGAUGGCCUCGCGUCUGAUUAGCUAGUUGGUGAGGUAACGGCCCACCAAAGCGACGAUCGGUAGCCGGACUGAGAGGUUGAACGGCCACAUUGGGACUGAGACACGGCCCAGACUCCUACGGGAGGCAGCAGUGGGGGAUAUUGCACAAUGGAGGAAACUCUGAUGCAGCAACGCCGCGUGAGGGAAGAAGGUUUUCGGAUUGUAAACCUCUGUUUUUAGUGAAGAAACAAAUGACGGUAGCUAAAGAGGAAGCCACGGCUAACUACGUG